UCUCCGUUGGUGAACCAGCGGAGGGAUCAUUACAGGACUCGCAAGACUCCUACAACCCUGUGAACUUAACUAUAAGCACGUUGCUUCGGCGGGUGUCUCGGAGGGGGUUCUCCCUCCCCGAGACGCUAAACCCGCCGGCAGCCUACUAUACUCUGUCUCUUUGCGUUGGCAUCUCGAGUACAAUCAAACAAGUUAAAACUUUCAACAACGGAUCCCUUGGUUCUG
rnacentral:misc_RNA from 1 species